rnacentral:rRNA from 1 species
AUGAGGGAGGCGUCGACGUCCACGACGACUACAACGACGACCACGACGCGCCGCCGCCACCGGUCCGCCAUGGAGAUGCCGGGCAGGGGUCCAGCAGGGGAGGCCGCGCCAUCAAGAAGGAGAAGGCCGCCGCCUACGACGACAAGGACGGCGGCGACGUCAGCGACUUCGCCGCGCUCAGUGACUUCUUCACCCCGUAGAAGUGAUUUUUUUUUAAUAAUAUAUAUAACGCCGAACAUGCCGAAUAUUAUGUCAAGUUUGCCGAACGUUUGGUCCAAUUUGCCGAAGUUUGCCGAAUUCAGUUUUUUUUUUAAUUAA